CGUAUUAUUCAAGCAAUUUAAAUAUUUCUUGGGUCAACUUUCCCUUCAGCCACUGACACGAAAAUGUAUCUCCAUGAAAGUGAUACUCGCACGGAAUUUCUAAGCCAUAACCACCUCCUCUGUUGACACGCUUUCCUUUGACGAUUAUUUUACCAGAAUUUGUCUGCCGUUUUAAAAACUUUGUCAGCCAUAGUGCCAUUAGUUUCGGGGCAUGUCCACUGCACUACGCUUAAGUAAAUAUUCCUCAUCGAGUUUUGGUUCCCAGU